UCGGGUUAAGUCCCAUAACGAGCGCAACCCUUACUGUUAGUUGCCAGCGGGUAAUGCCGGGAACUCUAGCGGGACUGCCACCGUAAGGUGAGAGGAAGGUGGGGAUGACGUCAAAUCAGCACGGCCCUUAUGUCCAGGGCUACACACGUGUUACAAUGGCCGGUACAAAGGGCAGCUACACCGCGAGGUGAUGCUAAUCUCGAAAGCCGGUCUCAGUUCGGAUCGAAGUCUGCAACCCGACUUCGUGAAGUUGGAUUCGCUAGUAAUCGCGCAUCAGCCAUGGCGCGGUGAAUACGUUCCCGGGCCUU
rnacentral:rRNA from 1 species